GGCGUGGUGUCUGGCAGGCACGUGGGAGUCUCGGGGGCUGCACUCAGGGCCCUACCCCCAGCACUCACCUGAACCCAGACCUCCAAGCAGGCCUGGGAGGGAAGGGCUCUAUACCGUUGCCAUGGAUACCUGCACCCAGAAGUGGUGGGGCUGUUUGUUACCAGGAGUCUCCAGGGAGACCCCAGACUAGGCCCCUGGAGACAGGGUCUUGCUCCCCUGUCCAGGCUGGAAUGCUUUGGUGUGAUCACAGCUCACAGUAACCUCAAAUUCCUGGGCUCAAGUGAUCCUCCCAAUUCCGCCUCCUGAACUGCUGAGACUACAGGCACCUGCCUCCACUGCCAGGCCCAGCCCACAGCUCCUUUGACCUCAGUGACAGGCACUCACCUACCUGACCCCCAAACUGAAGCCUCACCUUUCCCAGCCAUCUCCACACCCUCUGGGCUACCCCAUUACCAUGACAAGUAUUCCCUCUGCUCCAGGAGAAAAGCGAGGUCACAGACCUGACCCACAAAACCCAAUCAUUCC
rnacentral:antisense_RNA from 1 species